rnacentral:rRNA from 1 species
CAGCCGCCGCGGUAAUACGGAGGGAGCUAGCGUUGUUCGGAAUUACUGGGCGUAAAGCGCGCGUAGGCGGUUACUCAAGUCAGAGGUGAAAGCCCGGGGCUCAACCCCGGAACUGCCUUUGAAACUAGGUGACUAGAAUCUUGGAGAGGUCAGUGGAAUUCCGAGUGUAGAGGUGAAAUUCGUAGAUAUUCGGAAGAACACCAGUGGCGAAGGCGACUGACUGGACAAGUAUUGACGCUGAGGUGCGAAAGCGUGGGGAGCAAACAGGAUUAGAUACCCGAGUAGUCCCUGUCUCUUAUAC